GAUAGUAUUCGAACCAUUAAAACUAUCAGUCAAACUGAUACCUUUAGAGGAAAACAGUAAAAGUGAAACUUUAAAAUGAAAUUUUUCGUAUUCGGAUUUUUACUUGCUAUGCUCAUGGCACUUCUUGGCAAUACUCUUGGCAGUCUUAAAGAGGAUCCAGAACAUCCUUCAUUCGCUGAAUUGCGAAGCUUUGUACCACCACCGGAGCCAGCUCCAUAUCCUUUUUAAAAUCUUUAUUUUAUUGAAUUUUAAAAGAAGUUAAGUUUAAACAUU